UAACGCGUGGGAAUCUGCCCUGGGGUGGGGGAUAACCGAUGGAAACGUCGGCUAAUACCGCAUACGUCCUGAGGGAGAAAGAUUUAUCGCCCUGGGAGGGGCCCGCGUCGGAUUAGCUAGUUGGUGGGGUAACGGCCUACCAAGGCGAUGAUCCGUAGCUGGUCUGAGAGGAUGAUCAGCCACACUGGGACUGAGACACGGCCCAGACUCCUACGGGAGGCAGCAGUGGGGAAUAUUGGACAAUGGGCGCAAGCCUGAUCCAGCAAUGCCGCGUGAGUGAUGAAGGCCUUAGGGUUGU
rnacentral:rRNA from 1 species